rnacentral:lncRNA from 1 species
UGAAGAGGAAAGGAAAGAACACAAACCCUAGGCGAGAAAAUUGAAGAAAAAGUGUGGGAUUUCAAGGGAUUAAGCUAAUAAAGGUAAAAUUUUGUGAUUUUGUCUUGUGAUUUACACUACCCAUGCUUUCUUUUUCAUUUUCCAUGCUUAGAACUCAAGUUUUCAUGAUGAACCCAUGCUGGCCGAAUUUGAGAGGAGAGGUUUUGAGCAUUGAUUUUGCUAGAGUUCAAGCUAAUUAAGUGUUUUUGGUUGUUUGGUAAUGGAAAGUAUGAAAAUUUAGUAAGGAAUCACUUUGUUCUUCACAAACCCACAAGAGGUCAAAUUUUCUAGAGAGGAUACUGAGGCUGAAAUUGAUGAUAUUUCAUGAUAUUUUGGUGGUAUUUAAUGAUUGGUGAGGCUAGAAAUUUAGUGAAAAAUUUUGGCAUGAAAAUCUGAAUUUUUACCUAAUGUAUAGACAUGUGCGAUUUACGGUCUGGAUUGAUAAAUUGAAUCAUAUUCACAGUCAUUGAGGUAUUUUAAGUAUAAUUGGAGUGUAGAAAGUGAAAGAAAUCGAUUUGGAGUUAAGUUGGAGGUUUUAGCCAAUUACAUCGAGAAUAGUGCGAAUUAGGUCAAAUACCGUAUUUAAAUGGCUAUUCGGACAUUUUGCAUCACAUUUCGUGCAUUCAUAUAGAUUUAUAAAGCCUGAAAUAGUUUAUAAUAAAUUGACACAAUUUAUUGAAAUUCGUGUCACGUAUGAUGUAUAGGUGGUGAGCCCUCUAACAAGGGUAAAGAGAUUGUGCCCGAAGAUCGAGAAUAGGAGUAUAUCGAACUCCUAGUACUGUGAGUAACCUUACUAUCGUCGUAAUUAUCUAAAGUAUAUUUUAUCCGAUUUUGUGAAUUUUAUGAAAAAUGAAUUAAAUGAUUAAUUUUUCGAUUUUAUAAACAAAAUGUGAUUUAGUGAAAUGAUUUCAUAAAAUUGUUUUAAAAUUAAAUAAUGGCUUUUCAAAUAAAGUAAUUGGAGACCAUUUGAUGUAUUGUGAAUUUAUGGUUCUAAUUGAUUGGCUUAUGACAAUAUUGGCAUGAAUGGCUGAAUUGGUAUUUGUGUUGAAAUGUAUAAACUGUUGUUUGCCUUGAUAGGCUAGAUAAUGAUAAAAUUGCCAUGUCAUACUGUUACAAAUUUUAUUGUAUGGUGGGUUUAGCUUGCUGCAGUGGGCUAGUUUUGUGGACUAACCUAUUAGAGGGGCACGAAACCUAGUCAUAUUCUUACCUCGGUUAGAGAGGCGAGUAGGGUAACUCCCGAGGUAUAACUUUUAGAGUUCACUUCAUGCCAAACCACCACGUGAGGGCGAACUCAGCUAACGCUAAGGAACGACUAUAUUUUCAAAAUAAAAAAACAUGAUUUAUGAGUACAUAACUUUUUAAUAGCCUUGGCGGACUCGGUUUGGGAUAGCCCGCGGCCAAGGUAUCUUUGAUAACUGGGUAUGAGAAUGAUUUUGGCACGAGUCAAAGUUUUAAGAAAUUCAUAAGCCAUGUUAAUUACUCAAUUUAUAUGAAUUGAUUUUAUUUGGUUGAAACAAGUUGAAAGGUGAUGAAUUUCAGUAUGUUAAACUAUUUUAUCUAUCUCCAUUUACUCGACUUUAGAUGGUUUAGAUGGUAUCUGUUUACUCACUGGGAUUUUAUAAUCUCACCACCCUCCUUUUCAACCAUUUUAGGCCCACGGUAGCCUGUGGAUAGCAGAUAUUGUCAAAGAUUAUAGUUGGCUUUAUUACUCCAAAAACUGUAAGUUUACUACCUUUGUGCACUUUUGUUCCUUGUGGGCCCACAAGUCACUGUAAAGUAAAUUUCAUAUCCCAGUUAUCUGCAUUAUAGUACGUAUGAAUUUAUUUAGCUUUUACAUUACAAAAAUUAUUUACCGAUGACUCUAUAAAUAUUGUUUUACAAGAAAUUAGAAUAUUUUAUUGAAUAUUUUUAUUUUAUUCAAAUAGUUGCAAUAUCAUUUUUAAUAAAUGUUUUAGACCCCCAAAAUUAUUUUAAAUAAUGUAAUAUGGGUUUUCCACUCAUCUACUACAUCUUUAGUCGGGGUUUAGAAAAUUUUGAGGAAAAAUGACGAAAACGCCCCUAUAAGGUGAAAAUUAUUUUUCCAUGGUUUUGAAAUGGAAAAAGCUUAAAAUUCUUUAAAAACGAGGUUUGGCGAUGAUUACUCAUAGGGGAGAUGAAAAAAAAUGGUACUAAAGCCUUGCGGGGUUUCGGUUGGCAUUUCGGGUAACAAAUGUCUACCGGGAUGUCGCAAUGGUUGUCACGGGCUCAAGGGGAGUACCGGGUCGUGACACAUUUCGCUACAAACUCGACUAUAUCUCAUUUCAUACCCGGCCACCAGUAACUUUUAUCAUCGUAUCAUCUAUACAACUCAUUAAACACGUCGAAUUCAAAACUCACGUUACCAUGAAUAAUUCUUCACUUUAGUUGAUCACAUAAUCAUCUCCAUAUAUAUAUAUAUAUAUAUAUGGAGAUGAUUAUCCAUCACUAUCGGUAAGGACCCUCGUCAACUAUGUUCGAACCAAAUUCCCUCUAUUCAUUCUAAUCCAUAACUAAAGUUCAAUAUCAUAUUCUCAUAACACAUGUUUCCCCUUUUUACUUUUCUAUUUGAUUCCCAUAGGUCAAGUUUAAUCCAUGAAUAUUAGGGUAUAAUCAACUCCAAAUUACCUUUUUGGAUGUUUGAGUUACCAUUUAAUUAACAUCCUACAAUCAAUUAUUUCUUAUGUAAUCCAUACGGAUUCUCAUUGUGCCUAUGCAUAACUUCACAUAAUUUACAUGCUUAUACUAUUUUCUUAUCAUUUCCAAUCCUAUGUAUAAGCUCCAUUAUACCACGCAUCCUUGCAUCACAAUGUCAUUAACCACAUUUCAAUCAUAGAUAUCAUUUUCAUCCAAUGACAAUCGGGUAUCCACAUAUGCUUUGCAAUCUUAUUGAUCCUUCAGAGGUUUUCUUUAAUUCAUCCUCGUAUCUUAUGCAAUAGCACAAUUCCUAAAAGUCAUCUUCGUUUCUCAUUUACCUUGUACCCUUCCAUCAUACACGUCCUUAUUCAUUUCCAUAUUAGUUAGUCAUUUAAGAUUUAAAUUCAUUGAAGUCAUGUGCACUUCUUACAUUUGAAUACUAUUUUCCCACAUUAGGAAAUUUUUAUUAACCAACUUUAUAAUCAGGAUUACCUUCAAUUAUCUUGUACUAUUCCUUUACACCAAUAUACCCAUACAUUAUCUUUAGCGUCUGCACAAUCAACUAUGAUAUUUACAAACUUAAUAUAGAUUUUACUGAGGUAUCCAUCGACAUCAUCACCAAUAUCUAAUUUCAACCUCACAUGACCUCAUAACUUAUGCUUUAACCAUUAAGCUCCUUAACAAUUCCAAGUUCCACAUUUCCUUAUCAUAUAUAUAAAAUAUUUUAAAGCACUACUAACCAUUAUUCUUGACACUUGCAGUUCGGUCUAUUCAUUUCAAAACUCUUAUACAUUGCCAAUAUAUAAGUCAACAAAGAAACUUUCCAAUUCAUUCAUAUCUAUACCUUUCAAAACCUUAAAACUCCAAUUAACGAAGCUUAACAUCAAGUCCAAUGACCUUAAUUCAACUCGUAAGUUCAACUUCCUGUCUUUCACCUCUUAUUCCUACGUCCCAGAUAUGAGGUGUUUCUACUACUGCGGCACGGUGGCUGCUUAAGUUUACUUAAUCAACGUUAUUCGUCUAAAUUUAAGGUUACUAUAUUAAUCAUCCUCAACUGUUUGGUUUUCCUCCAAGCUUACGUCACAAUUUUCAUAACCAUUAUAUUCUCUUGUGCUUAUCACAUAUAAUAGACUAAGCCAACAUUUUCAAAUUCAUCUCAUUCUUUAACACUUGUCAACAUCCAUUACCACAAGUAAGAAUCCCUUCUUACUUUCCUCAAUUUCGACAUAUCUCAAAUUGUACACCACUUAUCGUCGAGAUCUUGACUUUACUCUCCAGUUUUUAACCAAUUACAUUUAUAAAAUGAAUAAUUUACUUAAUUAUUACAUCUCGCCUUUACGGUCAUAAGAUCAAAGUUUCUUAAGCUUAGGAUGCAGAAACUUCCUCUUAAAGCAUAUUCGAAAAUCAACAUUUUCUAAAUCCGUUACCUUUGAAGAAAUCAAAUUUAAGACCAAUCAUUUGCACCAUAGUUUGCAUACUAAUCCAAGUAGACUUUUAAAUUGAUCCUUAAAAUAAUUUGUAUAUCAAGGUCCAAUAUAAAUCUCCAUAUGGCAUUUAGACUAGAAUCAACAUUUUCAAAUCAUUUAAUUUCAAACUACUAAAUCCAUAUUUAGUCCUUUAAUCCUUUGGCUCUACACUAAGCAUAGCAAAAUUCAAGCUCAUCCUUAGAGUAGAUCAAUAGAGAACUCAAGCUCUUAAUCAGGAGGUAGUCCCGGUAAUUCAUCGAAAAAUAUAUCAGAGAACUCAUUUACUAUUGAGACAUCCUCUAACUUAGGUUCCCCUUUUGAAGUAUCGAUCACGUGUGCUAAAUAUGUUGGAUACCCUUUCUGUACCAGUUUCAAAGCUUUGAUGGCUGAGAUUACACAGGACGGUAAUACUCGAUGUUCCCCUGCAAAUACAAUCUUUGCUCCCUCAAAAUUUCGAAGUACAACUUCUUUUCGGAAACAAUCCACGUUUGCCCGAUGUGCAAUUAACCAGUCCAUACCUAAUAUUAAAUCGAAAUCCCGGAUCUCUAGAGGAAUUAAAUCACCCUUAAAUUCUUCCUCACCAACCAUUACCCCACAAUCUCUAUAACAAGUGUUUCUAACUAGCUUUUCUCCUAAAGGGGUGUUAACUACAAUUUCUUCCUCUAAUGGUGAUAGGUUUCUAUCAGAAAAUGAUGCAAAUGUUGUGCUCACAUAAGACCUGUUCGAGCCAGAAUCUAUUAAGACAUAUGCAUCUCUAUCAAAUACAGACAUAGUACCUGUCAUUGUACUAGGUCAGACUCGUGCCUUUUCCUCUCCCAACUAAUCUAGCGAGAGGUGGGAGUCCACUUCGAGGAGGCAUAAUAAUUUAUAAGAAGAAUCAGAACGAGUUUAGACAACUUUAGGUUCUAUAUGCAAAUGCAUGCAUUCGACUUAAUCUAACCUAACUUGGCGGUCACACUGACACUGUAGUUUUUAAAAUAACUUUAAAACCAAAAGCUCUAAUACCAAUAGAAAUGUCAUGACCCAGUACUCCCUUCGAGCCCGUGACAUCCGUCGCGAUGUCUCGAUAGACAUUCAUUACCCGGAAUGUCAACCGAAACCUCGCAAGGCUCUCGCAUCAGUUUUACAUCUCCCCUGUGAGCAAUAGUUACUAAAUAUCAUGUUUUAAGGGAAAAUAAACUAUUUUUAAAUCAAAACAAACAAAAAACUAAUUUCUGCCACACAGAGAUAUUUUGGUCAUUUUUACCUGAAAAUUUUGAAACACGAUAAAAAUAUGAUAUACGAGUAAUAAGCAUCCAUUUCAUGUCUAAAAAUAAGUUUCGUUGUCUAAUUCAUCAAUUUAAAGUGAAAUUAUAGCUAUUCAAAUUAAACAAAAAUAUUAAAUAAAAAAUUCUAUUUUCUUAUAAAACAAUAUUUAUAGAACUUUGCGUAAAUAAUUUUUGUAGCGUAAAAGCAAAAUAAAUUCAUACAUACAGUGGCACACCCAGCUAGGUAUACAAAAUAUUCUACAAUAACAUGUGGGCCCCCAAAAUAAACAUAUAUGUACAAGACUAUAGACCUGCGAUUUCUAAGGCCCCAAACCCAAAAGCUAACCCUCGAUAUAAUCAGCGGUUUACAAACUGCCCUAAGCCUGAAAUGGGUGAAAAGAAGGGGUGAGUUUUUAUAAACCUAGUGAGUAAACAAACAUCAUCUAAAAUAUCUAAAGUCGAGUAAAUGGAGACAACUUAAAAUAGUUCAUCGUACUAUGAUUCAUAAAUAAAAUAAUUUCAUUUCACUCAAAUAAUCAACAUGGAUUAUGAAUUUCUUAAAAAUUUAGCUCGUGCCAAAACUCAUUCUCGGGGAUACCUUGGUCGGGGCAUCCAACAGAGUCCGCCAAGGCUGUUAAAGAAAAGUUUAUAUACGCAUAAAACACAUUUUUAUGUUUAAAAGCAUAACAGUCCCUUGGCAUUGGCUAAGUUCACCCUCAGUGGUGGUUUAGCGCGUAGUGAACUCUAAAGCUUCACCUCAGGAGAUACCUUUCACGCCUCUCAUACCGAGGUAAAAUAUAACCGAGUUUACCAUGCCCCUCUCUAAUACGCUAGUCCACGGAAACUCGCCACUGCAGUGACUAAUCAAUAUCCCACCAAAUCAAUAAAAGUUUCGACAGCAUGACAUGGCAAUUAUAUUACUACCCAGCCUGUUAAGGCAAAACAAACAGUUCAUAUAAUUUCAACACAAUUUCCAAUUCAGCCAUUCAUGCCAAUAUCACCAUAAGCCAUUCAAUUCAAACCAUAAAUUUACAACACAAUCAAACAGUCUCCAAUUACUCAAUUUCUAAAAUCAUUAUUCAAUUUCAAAAUGAUUUAUAAAACUCAUUUCAUUUAAUCACAUUUUACUUAUAAAACAUAAGGAUUUACCAUUUAAACUCAUUUUUCUAUAAAAUCACAAAAACGAAUAAAAACUACUUUAGAUAAUUAAGACGAUAAUAAGGUUACUCACAAUAUCGGGAGUCGAAGUACUCCUAGUCCCGAUCUUCGGGUACAAUCUCCUUACCCUUAUCGGAAGUUUCACCACCUAAACAUAAUGCACAACAAGCAAUUUACUAUAUUUGUACUAAACCGUUAUAAAACUAAUUUAGGCUCUAUAUGAAUGCAUGAAAUGGGAUGCGAAAUGUUCGGAUUAUUAUCUAAAUAUGGUGUUCUACGUAGCUUCAAUUAUGUAUCGAAAUAAAAUGGUAUUGGCCUAAUUCGAUCUAUACACCGGUUAAUUGGCCAAUACAUCCAAUUCAACUCCAAUUAACUUGAUUCCACUUCCAACACUCCAAGUCAUCAAUUACAAGUUAAAUAAUAUGUAAUAUCACAAAAAUCCAUCAUCAAUAUCUUCCUUGUAAAAUUCGGCCAUUGAAGGUUUAGUGUAGAACAUGUAAUUUUCAUGCUUGAUUUUUACACCUUACAUCAUAAAACAACUAAAAACACCUAAAUAGCAUGAAAUUCAUCAAAGUCCAUUAUCCAAUUUCUCUCUUGAAAAUUUCAGCCAAGGAGUGUGGGUGAAGGGCAUGAAAUUUCUUGCUUGUUUUUCAUGCUAAACAUCACCAAACAACUAAAAACACUAAGAUACCUUGAAAUCUAACCAAAUAAAUCAUCAAAUCUUCUCUCCCUAAAUUCGGUCAGCCAUGAAUCCUUCAUGAGAUCUUGAAUUUUAACCAUGGUAAUUGAAAAAGAAUGCAUAGGAAAGGUAGAUCACAAGCUAGAAUUAAGAAAUUUUACCUUUACUUGCUUAAUUCCUUGAAAUCCAAUGAAUUUUCUCUUGAUUUUCUUCUCUAGGGUUUGUUCUAUGCUUUUUCCCUUUUGUUCUUGCCUUGGCUAGCCAAGAGAAAUGAGAUGGGAGAGUUUUAGUUGUGUUUAUAAAGGAAAAUAUGCUAAUAUUAAAGCUUGACACUUGUCACCAUGUGAUUGGUCCAUACAUAAAACUUAAUAAUUAAGCAUUUCUUCUCCAUCACAUAAAAUCCCUCAAUUAUCCAAAGUAUAAAAUGAAUUUCAUGGGUUUGACAAGUGUCAAGGUGGUGUAAAAUUCUAAAAAUUCUAAUUACGUCCUUGUGGACACAUGAAAUGACCAUUUUGCCCUUGUGUUCGAAAAAUUGUCGAAAUUAAAAUUUUUCACUUCUCAAGGUCAAAUUAUGUUCCAAAUAGUCAAACUUGAUCAAAAUUGCAUCCACCAUCCCAAAUUUGCCCUCAAGUGGAAAAAUGAUCAUUUUACCCCUACGUUAUGAAAAUUCCAAUUUAACUCAAAAUCAAUCCUCGAACUCUGAAUCACCAUAUUAAGUCAUUAUAAGUUUCAAUAACUCUCAAUUGCAUCUUAAAAUCUUUAUUUGAACUAGUUCGAGGCUUAAAUCAACUUAGUUGUACCACUAGGUACACUACCGUCUUUUGACCAUUUUUUCGAGGUAUUCAAGUAUGCAAGCAUGUUGUCAAAUACAUGAAUAACAUGGCAAGUAUAUUAUAGAGUAGGGCUUGACAAUAUUGGCCUUAUAGUUAAUUAAAGUAUAUUAAUUAAGUCUUUAGAAGUUAAAAACCUAGUUUAUGAUUUAAGUCCAACUUAAAUCAUCACACUCCCAAUUUAAUUUACAAUGCAAUUUAUUGUGUGUGACCCAUUAGGUUCCUAACAUGUUGAUAAUGGAAUUGAAUUAUAAUUUAUAUUAAAUUAAUUAAUUCAAUUCCAUAGACCAAGAUUGGCAUUUAGCAAUGCAUCAUGGCCAUCCAAUUGUUAGGAGAGUCAAAGGGUUAUUUGAUAACCUUUCAGUGUAUAGUCUAUGAGUAUGGUCCAGUGUCUUCUCUUUAUUGAUCUCCAUAUUUGUUUUUAAAGUUAAAUCAUUAGUUUUAUAGAGACUUAUGAAACAUUUUUUCAUAAUCUCUAACUCGCCUUGGCCAAGGACUUCAACAAAAUAUCAACCAACAAUUGUUAGGAUAUGUCCCUUAAAUCGCUUGGAGUGAUGAUUUCUUUCUUGACCACUCAUUUGCCUUCACAUUCUUUCUCUUGUUUUGGCAUUCUUGGUUAGGCACCCGUAGGGAUGAAAUCAAAGCAUAACACUCCACAUAUAAAACAACUUAGUGUUUCAAGUCUAAGAAGUAUUUACACAACUAACACAUGAGAAUUAUUGCAUAAACACUUGAGUGAAAUACCAAAUGCACUUCUCAUGGCGGGUCAUGUUCAAUGAACUUGCUCUUCUAGGCAACACCUACAUUAUAGUUCUAAGUAUCUCUACACUUCAACCUAUGAGAUCGAUUGUUUACUUUUCAAGUAAGAAACAUAGAAUGUACCAGUCUCUAGAAAUCAUUGAUGUCUAGUUUCAAUGAUACAUCGACUAGGAACAUUUAGAGAUUAUGCUUUGAUGCACAGGGAUUUCAUAACUACAAACCAUUAUAGUUUCCUUGUACGGCAUAUUAAUCUCAUGGACUUCAUCCAAUUAUACUUAUAACCGAUUAUAAUUAACGUCUUAUUGGUGAUGAAAAACCUCUAAUCAUUCAACAUGAAUGUUAUUGUUGCAUGAUUGGAAUCAAGCCUUAACUAAUCCCAAUUGGUUACAGAGCUCAUCCCAACACUAUGAAAUAGUCGUACCUCCAUAUAUGAAUAAGUAAUCCAUCUAGGAUUGAGCUUUGUGUGAAUCAGAUAAAUAUUAUGCUUCUGCAAAACUAAUUAAAUUUGAUUUUGAUACAUUUGAGUAAUAUAAACUUGUGUCCAUUAUUCCUCAAAGAAAUUAAAAUAUAUGUUUAAUUCCAUUCCAAUGUCUUUAAGUUGGAAAAAAACUAUAUCUUGCUAAUAAAUUUACAGCAAAUGAUAUAUCAGAUCAUGUAUUGCUAGCAAGAUAAAUUAGUGCUUCGGUUGCACUAAGAUAUGAUACUUUAGGACCAAGUAGUUCUUCCUCUUCCUCAUCCUCACAAGGUCGAAAAUGAUCCUUUUUCACAUCUAGUGACCCUACAAUCAUUGCUGAACUUAAUAGAUGUGUUCUAUCCAUAUAGAAUUGUUUUAGCACUAUUGUUAUAUAAUUUGAUUGAUGGACAAAAAUUUCAUUUGUCAAGUCCUUAAUCUGAAGACCCCAACAAAAAUUUAUUUUUCCAAGGUCUUUCAUCUCAAAUUCUUUCUUUAAGUAAGCCACGACUUUUGAUACUCUUUAGAAGUUCUAAUAAUGUUUAGGUCAUCAACAUAAAUAAUAAUUAUCACAAAUUCAUAUAUAAAUCUUUUUAUAAAAACACAUGGGCAAAUAGAAUCAUUUUAUAGCCUUCUUUUAACAAAUAUUCACUAAGGCAAUUAUACCACAUGCGUUUGGAAUGCUUAAUCCAUAUACAUAGUUAUGUAAUUUGAUUGAAUAAAUUUUUCAAGAAUUGUGUGCUUCAGGCAACUUAAAUCAUUUAAAGAUUUUAUAUAGAUAUCGAUAUUAAGUGAGCCUAUUUAUUUGACGUAUUUCAAUCUUCUCAUGUAUUGCCAAACUAAUUAAAUAUAGAAUUGUAAUUGCAUCCACCACAAGAGAAUAUGUCUCUUCAUAAUCAAUACUAGGUUUUUGGGUAAAACCUUGUGUGACAAGCCAUGUUUUAUAUCUCAAAAUCUCAUUUUUCUCAUUACAUUUUUGCACAAAUACCCAUUUAUAUUCCAUUGGUUUUACAUCAUUUGGUGUACGGAUUACAGGCCCCAAAACUUCACGUUUGGUAAGUGAAUUCAAUUCCACCUUGAUUGUGUCUUUCCACAUUGGCAAAUCAUUUCUAUGUCUACAUUCUUCAACAAAUGUAGGUUUAAGAUCUUUUUAUCCUUUCCAUAAUAUUGAUAGCUGCAUUACAUGCAAAAAUAUCAUUGAUGUCUAUUUCAUUCUGAUUCCAUCUUUUCCUUGUUAUGAUAUAAUUUAUUGAGAUCUCUUCAUUUUCAAUGAUUUCAGGUUCUUGAAUUUCUUUUAGAAUUUUAUCAAUUAUGUCAAGGGUUUCUUUUAAAGUUUCUGUUUUGUCUUUUUGACCAUUUUUGCAUAUUUGCUCUCCUUUUCUUUUUUGAGGAUUUUAACUUUGGAACCAAGUGGUUUCCCAUGCUUUUGGUAUGCCUUGUCUUACAAGGACAUUAAUUCUAAUAGAAACUUUUACAGAUGGUAUAUAAGAUUUAGUUAUUCUCUAUAGGUCAGUAAAUACAUUUGGAAACUGAUUUGCUAUAUUUUGCUAAUGAAUUAAUUUUUAAACUUCAAUUUCACGUUGAUUUGUGCAAGGAUAAAAACUAAAUAAUGAUAAUCCAUUCCAAGAAAUUUAUUUUUCCAUAUGCUUAUUUUCUCCCCAUAAUGUUGAACAAAUUGUUUCAUCAAAAUGACAAUCGGUAAACUUUGUUGUCAAUAAAUCUCUUGGUAAUGUUUUAAAUAUUUAAUUAUAGAUGGAGAUUCGUAUCCAACAUAUAUUCCUAACCUCCUUUGAUGACCUAUCUUUGUACAUUGUGGUGGAGCAAUUAAGACAUAUACCGCACAUCCAAAAAUUAUUAAAUGGGAAAUAUUUGGUUCUUGACCAUAAACCAAUUGUAUAGGGGAGAAUUUAUGAUAACUAGUUGGCUUGAUGCGUGCAAGUGCUAUUGCAUGCAAAAUGGCAUGCCCCCCAAGGGAAUGUUUUGAACUUUAAAAAUACAUUCUAGACCACAUCUAUAGGUAGAUGUUCAUCAUAUAUCAAUAGUUCAAACCCAGAAAAGGUUUUUGAAGAACAUUUAUUAAUAGAUUGAGCCAAUCUAUCGAUAGAUAGCAACUCGAGCCAAAUCUAUCAAUAGAUUGGCUCGAUCUAUCGAUAGAUUAGGCGUAGAAUUGAAAAAGGUUAUUUGAUCUUUUUAACCUCAUUUUAAAAGCCCUAAAACCUUAGACAUUUCCCCAUUUGGCAAAAACAUGGUUUUUCCUUGAAAACACAACCGCCUUCUUCCUCUUUUCUUUCAAUUCUCAUCUUCAACAAAUCCAUGGAUUUCAAGUACUAAAACAGCAUUUUCAAGCUUGGAUUUUGAUUUUAAAGAUUUUGGAAGGUAAAGCUUUUUGGUUUUAAGUCUUUAUAUUUAAGGUUUGAUUUCCAAAAAUUAUGGAUUCUCAAAAUAUUGUUUUAUUCAUGAAAAACUUUGGUUUUGAGUUAGUUUUGGAAUUGUCAAGCUCACCAAGGUAAAGUUGUUCUUAACUUUAGCUAGUGAUAGUUUAAAUGCUUUAGUUAGAGUUACAUUAACUACUGAUUUGUGGAUUAAAGGAUUAUUGGAAAAUAUUUGUGGAAAAACAAGAUGAUUAUUAAUCAAAAAUCUUGUUCGAGAACAAAAUAUUAAUGAUGGAAACUUUGUGAUAAGUGUUGUGGAGGAAGUUUGAGUUUUGGAAAAUCGAGUGAUCGAUGAAAAAUGCAAGAGAGUUAAGCACUCUUCAUCGAGCUGGGUAGAUGUGGCAUUUUAAUGAUUUUAAUAUAAUUAAGCAUGGUUAUUCUACAACCUUGCAUAUAAAUUGUAACACUCUCGAUUUUCGAUACAAACUAAGUCAAUUGAGAAUGAUUUAUGACAUAUAUUGUGCCUUGAGGACUUUGAUGAUAAGUUAAGUAUGCCAAGUUUAUAGGAGUAUGCAUAUUGACACUUAGGAAAAUUUUUAUGAAAAUGUGUGAUAAGUACUAUAGCUUAAGGUUUUGAUUUGAAUUUGAUGUUAUAUUUGAUGAUAUAAGUACAAGAAAUAUGAGUUAUAAUAGUUGAUUGAGGUAUGAUUUAAACAGGGAAUGAUUUGGGGUGUUAAAUUUGGAUUUUUGAGGAGUUUUGAAGGUUCAAAAUACGUCGAGAAGAGAAAAUGUAUUGAUACAUUCCCUAAUAUAUUAAUACAUUCUUGGCAAGAAGAACAAAAUGAAGUGUUCUUAGGGUUUUCUAUCGAUACAUUCAAGAAUGUAUUGAUAGAUUUGAAUUAGGAUGAACAUCUAUCGAUAUAUUGUCCAAAUGUAUUAAUAGAUUUGAAUUAGGAAGAACAUCGAUUGAUACAUUGCAUAUACAUUGUAACACUCCCAAUUUUCGAUAUGAACUAAGUCAAUUGAGAAUGAUUUAUGAAAUAUAUUGUGCCUUGAGGACUUUGAUGAUAAGUUAAGAAUGCUAAGCGUAUAGGAUUAUGCAUAUUGACACUUACGAAAAUUUUUAUGAAAAUGUGUGAUAAGUACUAUAGCUUAAGGUUUUGAUUUGAAUUUGAUGUUAUAUUUGAUGAUAUAUACACAAGAAAUAUGAGUUAUAAUAGUUGAUUGAGGUAUGAUUUAAAUAAGGAAUGAUUUGGGGUGUUAAAUUUGGAUUUUUUGGGAGUCUUGAAGGUUGAAAAUGCACCUACAAGGGAAAAUGUAUUGAUACAUUCCCCAAUGUAUUGAUACAUUCUUGGUAGGAAGAACAAAAUAAAGUGUUCUUAGGGUUUUCUAUCGAUACAUUUAAGAAUGUAUUGAUAGAUUUGAAUUAGGAUUAACAUCUAUCGAUACAUUGUCCAAAUGUAUUAAUAUAUUUGAUGCAGGGGACCCAUCGUGGAAAAGUAUCGAUAGAUUUCCCCCAUAUAUCAAUACGAUUAGAGCAGUAAGUAAUUUGCUUGAUUUUUAUCGAUAAAUUACCUAAUAUAUGAAUAGAUUUAGUCGAAAUCUAUGCAAAUGUAUUAAUACAUCUUGGGGUAUUUGCAAAAAUAAAAUGAGUUUUGAGCAUUCUACCUAUUUUAAAACAAAACCUAAACACCUUCUCUCUACCCCUCCAAAAACCCUAAUCUCGAACUGAUUUUUGGAGCUAUUUGGAGCAGAUUGGAUCUUGAGAAACUCCUCUAAAGGUAAAAUUACGCCUUUUUACUAAUUGAUUUUCAAUUUAAUCGAUUAAUAACUUAGAAAUUCAACUUUGCCAACUUUGGUGAGUUUCCUUUAAUUUAAUGGAAUUUGGAGUUUAGAUUUGUGCAAUUUGGCUUUUAAUGUAAGGAUUUAGCUCAUUGUUGAAGAUUUUGAGCUUGUAUAAUGGAUUGUUAAGAAUUGAGUUAUUUUUGAAAAGCUGGGCAUUUUCGAAAACUAGGAAAUAAUUAUUUUUGUGAUGUUUGUGAUGUUUUGCUAUGUUCUAAGGGGGAAAUUAAGAUUAUUGAUGAAUUUGUGAGUUGUAGGAUGGUUGGAGGAUAAAAGUUGAGCUUGGCUAUGGAGCGCCUCUAAUUGUCACUAUGAGUGGGUUUUAUUUGAAAUGCAUGUGAGACAUGACACAUUGUCAAAUAUGUUGCCAUGGUAUUAGAAUAGAAAUUGUAUGCAUAUAAAUUCCUAGAUGAACAUGCCUAGGCCAGAGAACAAUAUCUGUAUGUGUGUUUACUUGUUUGUGCGAUGUGUAUGUGUGCCUUAGUGUAAGCCAUAUAGUGGCUUGUGUUUGUUAAGCCCAAACUAGGGAGUCUAGUGAGUAUGGUGGAUUUCUAGGAGUAGAUUACUCUAAACAGAUAACCCUUUGAGGGAUUAUGAGCAUAAAAGUGAUCUCUGAUAUAGAUAGUGGUAUAUGAGAUACCUAAGGCAUUAUGGCCUCGUUUGUGGAUUUAUGUUUCAUUCAAUGAUGAGAAUUCCGGAUGUUGAUUUGAUUUGAUGAUUGAGUGGAGUCAUAUGCCCUGUGACUAUAUGUGCUUGUAGGGAUGGUGGUAAGCAAGGGCGAUGGUAUUAGUCCUGCUUAUAGUGCUUUGAUGCCAUCCAUUGAGAUUACUUCAGAUGAUGAUUAUGUUUAUGAUGCCACUUGUCUGAGAUUACUCUCUAUGAUGCCAUCCAUAGGGAGAUUACUACGGAUAAUGACUCUGAUUCUCUGUUUGUUUCUUCGGCACUCGUGUGAUUUGAUUCUCCACCAACGGCUUAGCCUUGAGUGUGAUUUGACUCUGUUGGUUGGCCAUCGUCCAUGAUUUGACUAUAUUCAGGGGAGGACCACUUUAUGAUAGUGAUUUGAAGUAUGAGGGAUGUGAUAUCACCUUGGAUAGGCUGAGGUAGAUUUUAUUGAAUUUGAUAUGAUACUUUGGUGACUAAGGUGUGCCUAUGGAGAAUAACUUGAAUGGCUUGAGAGUCAGCCUAAUGAUGUAUACUACUUGAGGAGACUUAAUAUGGAUGAUCGAUAUGCCCCUAACAUUGGAGAUGUUUGAUAGAACAUUUGGUUGCACUAAUAGUGCAUAAUAUGUGUAUGCAUAUAUUGCUAAUUAUAUAUAUAUAUGUUUGAUUUAUUUGCACCCCUCAUUGAGUAUUAGAUGACUUACUCAUUUAUUGUACCAUUUACAAAUAAAUAGGCCAUAGGACUACAGGGCAUGGGUUGUCCAUUUACAAACCAAUUUUUGCAUCCAGUAGGUCCCCAUCCUGACAUGUCCAUUUUGCUGUGACUAUCAUGAGCUUCUGCCUAUGGAGCUUGGUUCAGUAGCUAUGUAUGUAGGCACAUUAUGCCAUUUAAAUUUGAACUAAGGGUUGUAAGUAUGAACCCACUUGUUGGCCAAUGUAUAACUUUAGGGAUAUUGUAUUAAAUGUUGCGUAUGAACAAUGUGUGCAACGACCCAAACCUAAGGGUCCAUGACUAGUGCACGAGUCUAGUAGGCGAAGCCAACGAGACCCAAGCUAGUCUUAGAGUUCAAAAUCAUACAUACACAUAACACAUAGCUCAGGAAUUUCAUAUCGAAAUAUUCAUAAAUAAACUUUGAAUUUAAAUAUAUAUAACAUUAUCCCUGGCACAUAACUUAUACAAUGUUCAUAAGGCCAUACGUUGGCCAUCAAAUGGAGUUCAUACGUAACAAUCCUUACACAAAUUCACAUCACACAGUGUGCUUACAUGCAUAUCAAUCUAAGUAUGGAGUAAAAGCUCAUAACUGAUGCAGUAGAAUGAACAUGACAGGUGGAGACCUAUUAAAUACCGAAAUCAGUUUGUCACUAGACGACCUUUGCCAUGCAAUUUUGUGGCCUAUUUCUUUGCACAUGGUACACAAUGGAUGAGUCAUCUAAUACUCAGUGAGUGGUGCAGGUAAACAGAAUCAUAAAUACAUAGACAAACACAUAUAAAUAUUGCAUUAUCAGUGCAUCCAAAUGUUCUAACAAACAUCUCCAAAAUCAAAGGCAUAUCAUAAUCGCUAAAGCCUCCACAAAUGAUAUUCAAAUCACUAGGCUCAUCCUUUAGCCAUUCCAAAUCAUUCUCCAUGGCACACUCUAGUAGUUGGAGUAUCAUAUCAAAUUCCAAUCAGAGUUAUUUAAGCCUACCAAGGCUAUAUCACAUCACUCACAAUCCAAGUCAUAAUUAUAAAGUGGCCCUCCCCUGGACAUCAUCAAAUCAUGCAUGGUGGCUAACCGACAAAGAAACAAAUCACACUUAGGGCAAAGCUACUGAUGAAGAACAAAUCACUCGUGUGUUAGUCCUAAGUAAAUGUACUAAAAGGGGGUGAAUAGCACUUUUUGGCUCUUGCUAAAAUUGGCUUCUAAUUGAGGACAAAUGCAAGAUAAAAGAAAGAUUUAAAGAUGAAUGAAAAACUAAAAACAGAGCAGACAAUCACACAAAAAUUUAUAAUGGUUUGGUCCAAGACCUAAAUCCACGACCUUAAUUGUUCAACCAAGGAUUUUCAAAACUAAUCAUUAAGAAUGGUGAAAUUCACAAGCUUUCACCAAGCUUUUACAAUGGCUUUUACCAGGCUCAGCCAAAACCUUUCAUAAUGGUUUUUACCGAGAUCAACCAAAACCCAACAACUAAAUUUUUUAGGCUAAGUUAGGUACUAAACACCCAAUCAAGCAAUCCAAACUUGAACAAAUUCCCUUAGAGUGUGUCACACACUCUAAGUAUACAUGGAAAAGAGAUAUAAAUGUGUACCUAUGAUCAUUUACUUGAUCUAAGUGGUACAAAGUGAAGUGCGUAUCUCAAAUACAAAGAUAGGAGUAAAGUGCAGUAAGAGUGUAAAGAGUUUUUCUUGGUUUUUGAGGUCUUUUUGUUCUUGAAAGCCUUAAUUACAUUUACUAGCUAUUGGGAGCUUCUUAAAUACUUGAAGAAUCAGCUCUAACAGGUGUUAGGCAGUUUUUGACUAUUGGAAACAAUUUGGUAGCAAUUUUGUUCGUUAAUCUGUCUUCUAAUGCUUAAUUCAAAUUUUUUGACAAAAUGAUCUUAGUCGACUAACUGCGCUCUUAGUCGACUAAGUUGUCUCUGUCUUCUGAUCCUAGUUUUUAACAGUGAGCUCUUAGUCGAUUAAGUUGUUUCUGUCUUGAAGUCCAGAUUUCUGGUAGUAAGCUCUUAGUCAACUGACUUGUUUCUUAAUCGACUAAGUCUUCUCUGUCUCUUAAACCUCUUGAGCCUGCCAACUUUUUAUUUUAAUUUUAGCUGAUUAAUACCUUUCAUUAUCCAACUAAAAAGGCUUCUGUUUUGUUGAUCAAUUGUGGCUCCUUACUCAUAUGAUUUUAGAUAUGUGCCUUCGAAUGAUUUAUUUAUUCUUGGCAUACAAAUUUUUAUCCUGUACACUCAAGUAGAAAUAUUAGACACAAAUGAAUGGGAAUGUUUUAUUAUCAUCAAAAACUAAUGGGGCCAACAAUCUCCCUUUUUUUUAUGAUGACAAAACAUUUCUUGAUUAACAGCAUAGUGUCUAUUGGUUCCUUUUUGUUUUGCAGAAAAUGGAGGUUUUCCUCCCCUUAAGUGUGUGCUCCCCCUUAGUGUGUGCAUGUUUUAUUAUUCAUUUCAACAAAUUUUUAUUUAUGUCAUACAGAUAAUGACAUUAUAUAUUCAUAAUAUAUUUAUGCAGACAUAUAGAAUAAUCAACAAUAUGUGACUAGUUGACAAAAUAUCAUCAAUAUUUCAGUUAAUAGUCUGUCAUCAGCAUAUUGUUAUCAGAUUUUAUUUAUGCCCCAUUAAUCAUCCAAUAGAUAUAGUAUAAUCAGCAUCCAUAUACAUUUUCAAUCAAAUUCCAUUCACAAUAUCAUGAUAAAAAUUAAUUAUCAGCAUAACAGCCCAAUAUCAGCACAAAAUCUUUAAACAGCAGUAGUUAAAAUACUAUAAACAUCGAGAACAGAUUUAAAUGUUCAACCAUCAGCAACUAAAUAAUAUAAAUAGCUUAAUAACAUCCCAUAUUCAACACAAUAACAUAAACAACAAAAUUCAAAUGUUCAACUUUCAAUAGAACAAAAAAAAUAGCAGAAAAACAAUAGUCAUUGUUCUAUUCCUAAAUUGCCCUUAAAUCAUUUCUACCCUCUAUCUCUCCUAAGUUUUCUAUAAUUCUCCCAUUUUUUGUCAUCAUUAAACUGAGGGGUGUUCAAUCAGUUUUUGAAGAGGUUGAAGGGGUAGAUUCAUCAGUGCCAUAGAAAACAUUAAGGGGUUUAAGAGAUGGUUUUGGUAGUGAUUUAUGUGGUGAGGGUUCAGGGGAUGAUUUACCAAAAAUUUCAAGGGGGUUUUGAGGAUAAGAGAUGGCUGAUGGUCCAGCUUUUUUGGCUAUUCUAGAGGAUUUCCUUCUCUUGAGGAAUUUAGUCUUGGUUGCCAUUGUCUUCUUGCCUUUACCAGAUGGUUUAGGCUUGGCUUGUGGAGCUGCAGCAGCUUUUUCUUUUCCUUUCUCAGAUUGUUCCUCUGUAGCAUAAGCUGGUUCAGGGGAUUUUCUUGGAGAUACUGAUUUUGGUGCUUUCCCUUUAGCUGCUUCCUUUUCAGCUUGUUAUUCCUUGACCAUUUGGUGGAAAACAUCCAUUAUUAAGACUUCUUCUGAAUUUGGGGGAGAUGGCUGAUCUUGCUAUGGUUCAUGAUGAGAUAGGGAAUUUUCAAACGAGCCAAGCACUUCAGUGCCUUGAUUUGAUUCAUCUUUAUUCUGAGGCUCAAGAGUUAGAGAUUUCCUUGGUUGAUCAACUUCUGGUUCAAGACCCUCGGCUUGAAUUACAGAACUUGUAGCUUGAAAAGUUAAACCUUCUGCCUGAAAGGCAGGGCCUUCAGCAGCUUGUCCUACUGAUGCUGAGGUAUUUGCAGUAACAAGUUCAGAAGUUGAUUUCCCUUUUCCUUUCAUCAUAUUUUCAAGUUCUUCCAACUUUUCUUCUAUUUUCUGCAACCUCACAGUCUGGUCAGUAAACUUUCCAUCAAUUCACAUGAGCAGAUUCAGAACCAUUUCAUUUGAGAACUGGGAGGGAGUUGUCUCAAGUUGAGCAGAGAGAGAAGAUUCUUCUCCUAGAGUGACUUUGGGGGUCUUAACAAAUUUUUCUACAUCCAUUUUAUACCCCAUCUUAGGCAGACUACCAAGAUAUAUAGCCUAGUCCCUGCUUUUCACUAAAUCCAUUUCAUAUCUAGAGCUCCAUAUCUCCUUCUUCCUAACCAAUGAGGGGAUCACAUUUCCAUAUGGUAAAUUUUACCUUGUCAACUUUACAAGCUCCCUUCAUUCUCUCUAUCAUGAAUCAGCUUGGAUUGAAUGGAGCACCAUUGAAAGCAUGCUCCAUCAGCCAUAAGUCUUAAAGACUAACAUAGCUAAAGCUGCCACUUCUUCCAUGAAUGUUUGUAGCAAUAAAAUAAUGCAAAAUUCUGAUUUGGGGGCUUGUAAUGAGACCAACAUUACUUUUGGAUGAGUAUUUUUCUUUCUUUCCUAUUAUAAUCUCCCAUAGAGAUAAUGGAUCAUAAUUCUCAAGCAUUUCAAAAUCUCCCUUUUCACGUUCAAUUUUAAGCAAGCUUCCUAAGUCUGCAACAGUCACAAAAAAAUUCUUUUCCAUUUAUGAAGACAUUCAGACCAUCCUUAAUGAAAUCUUCAGGCUCCUCUAGUUCAUUUUCAUCUAUAGCUAUGCUAGCAUAAAAUUCUUUUACAAGGCUAGGACUAUAGGUUCGGCUCUUGAAAGUGCUAAAUUUUUUCAGUUUCAUUUCCUCAAAGUAAUCUAAUAGAUUUAUCGAAGCUCUUCCAGUCAAUAAAUUUUCCACAUGUAAUCGGAGCAUUAUCAAUUUUCUUGAACCUAUCCUCAUGGGUUUUAUUUCUAAACUUUGAGGACAAAACCUUAUCUUUCUUGGAGGAUUUUUCUUUCUUUUUCUUUUUCUCUGCUCUGUGUUCUUUCUUUGUCUGCUUUUUCUUAAUUUUCUUAACCUCAAAGGGGGACACAAUAUUUUUCUUCUUUUUUUGAAUUUUUGCUUGUGGACUCUCUUCCAUUGGCCAUUUGCACUUCUUCUUUUCCAUAAUUUCUUUGGACAUGGGGGAUUUUGCCAUUUGGUUUUGAGAUGUUUUUGGCUUAGGGUUUGAGGAUUGGGGAGAGAUGGGAUUUCGAUUUUUCUGAGUAGAGGCUCCUGGUAAGAGAAAAUGAAGAAUAUGGAUGAGAAGUUAUGAGAAACAAUCUGACUCCCCUUUAAAUGUUGUUAGUUUUUCUCCUUUUCAAAAUUUAACACUUUACCUCUCAUUUUUAUCUUUUUUAGUUGGGUGGUUUUUCUCUUCUUUUUUCUUCACCCGGUAGAUUGUUCAUUUUUACUAUUUUAUUCAUUCUCUCUUUACGUGACUGAGGCUUAUUAUUUAAAGUGUAAAGCUUGACCUUAUAAAAUACUUGUCAUGACAUACAUGUGAUGAUAGCAUGAUUGCAUGCUAGGAGAGUCCCGAAAAAUUUACAAAAGUAGGUAUUGUACCUAAAGGUACAACAAAGUUGAUUUAAGCCUCGAACUAGAUCAAAUAGGAAUUUUAAGGUGAGAUUAAGAGCUUCACAGUCCAUGGAUGACUCAAAAUGGUAAUUCAGAGUUUGAGGAUCAAUUUGGAGUUAAACCAAAAUUUUCACUAUAUGGGGGUAAAAUGGUCAUUUACCACCUAGGGACAAAAUGGAAAUUUUUAGAAAAGAUUUUUUUGCCCCAUUUGACUUAUUGGAGUAUGAUUUGAGUAUAGGAGUAUGAUUUGAGGUUGAAAAGUGAAAAAAAAAUUGUGAUCCCGAUAUUUUUCGAAGCAUAAGGGUAAAAUGGUAAUUGUACCAUUUUAGGGGCAAAAUUGUAAUUUUACACACCUGACACUUGUCCAGCACACGGAUUUUAUCCAAUUUUAUCAUGGAUAAUUGAAGGAAUUUAUAUGGUGGAGAGAGAAAGCUUAAUAGUUAAGAAAUAAAAAUGGAUCAAUGAAAUGGUGACACAUGGCAUGUUAAUAUCCAUUUAUUUUUUUUAGCUUUAAAAUCAACAAAAAUCACCCUAUUUUCUUCAUUAUGGCCGGCCAAAGCAUGAAGUGAAGAAGAACAAAGAAAGAACAAAACCUAGGUGGAAAAAUUGAAGAAAAAGUGUGGGAUUUCAAGGGAUUAAGCUAAUAAAGGUAAAAUUUUGUGAUUUUAUCUUGUGAUUUACACUACCCAUGCUUUCUUUUUCAUUUUCCAUGCUUAGAACUCAAGUUUGCAUGAUGAAUUCAUGGCUGACCAAAUGGGUAUGGAAAGAAAAUGAAGUUGGAUCGAUUUGAUUCUAAGUUAUGUUUGUGUUUUUAGUUAGUUUAGCAUAUUUAGAAACAAAACAACAAGAAAAAAAUUCAUUUUCUCCCAUUACCCAAAAGAGGCCAAAUUUUCUAGGGAGGAUAUUGAGGCUGAAAUUGAUGAUAUUUCAUGAUAUUUUGGUGAUAUUUAAUGAUUAGUGAGGCUAGAAAUUUAAUGGGAAAUUUUGGCAUGAAAAUCUGAAUUUUUACCUAAUGUAUAGACAUGUGUGAUUUGUGAUUCGGAUUGAUAAAUUGGAUCAUAUUCACAGUCAUUGAGGUAUUUUAAGUAUAAUUGAAGUGUAGAAAGUGAAAGAAAUCGAUUUGGAGUUAAAUUGGAGGUUUUAGCCAAUUACACCGAGAAUAGUGCGAAUUAGGUCGAAUAUCAUAUUUAAACGGCUAUUCGAACAUUUUUGCAUUCCAUAUCAUGCAUUAUUAGUCUAAAUUAGUUUAAUUUCGAUUUAGUACCAAUGUAGUAAGUUUCUCAAUUUUGUACUAUGUCUAGGUGGUGAAUCCUCCGAUAAAGGCAAGAAAAUUGUACCCGAGGAUCGAUAGUCAGAGUACUCUAGAAAUUCGACUCCCGAAAUAGUGAGUAACCUUACCAUCAUUUUAAUUAUCUAAAGUAUGGUUUUAUAAGGUUUUGGUGAAUUUUAUGAAAAUGAGUUCAAAUGGUAAAUUUUUAUGUUUUGUAAACAAAAUGUGUUUAAAUGAAAAGAUUUUAUAAAUUGUCUUGAAACGAAAUAAUGCUUUUAAAAAUAGAGUAAUUGGAGACCACUGGUAUGUUGUAAAUUUAUGAUUGGAAAUUGAUGGCUUAUGUUAUAUUGUUAUUGUGUUGGCAUGACUGGUUGGGCUGUGUUUUAUGAAUUGUAUGAAUUGUUUUAUUUUACCCUUGCAGGCUGGGUAGCAUUAUAUUAGCCCUGUCAUGUUGUUAAAAUUUUAUUAUAUGGUGGGUUUAGCUUGCUGCAGUGGGUGGAUUCUGUGGACGAGCCUAUUAGAGGG